rnacentral:lncRNA from 1 species
CGAAAACAAAAACUGACUCCCGGCAUAUUUUUUUCGGCCUUUAUGGGCAGAGAACUUUAAUACCGCUCGAAAUGAGGCCACCCAGUAGUUAGGUGUGAAUUUUCGAGACCUUUGGCACCGUUCUAAGAUGGGUCCUCUCUUCGUAGGCUAAUGCAUUGGCCCUUUUUGACCCGUUUUGGGGCGAAAACAAAAACUGACUCCCGGGCAUAUUUUUUUCGGCCUUUAUGGGCAGAGAACUUUAAUACCGCUCAAAAUGAGGCCACCCAGUAGUUAGGUGUGAAUUUUCGAGACCUUUGGCACCGUUCUAAGAUGGGUCCUCUCUUCGUAGGCUAAUGCAUUGGCCCUUUUUGACCCGUUUUGGGGCGAAAACAAAAACUGACUCCCGGGCAUAUUUUUUUCGGCCUUUAUGGGCAGAGAACUUUAAUACCGCUCAAAAUGAGGCCACCCAGUAGUUAGGUGUGAAUUUUCGAGACCUUUGGCACCGUUCUAAGAUGGGUCCUCUCUUCGUAGGCUAAUGCAUUGGCCCUUUUUGACCCGUUUUGGGGCGAAAACAAAAACUGACUCCCGGGCAUAUUUUUUUCGGCCUUUAUGGGCAGAGAACUUUAAUACCGCUCAAAAUGAGGCCACCCAGUAGUUAGGUGUGAAUUUUCGAGACCUUUGGCACCGUUCUAAGAUGGGUCCUCUCUUCGUAGGCUAAUGCAUUGGCCCUUUUUGACCCGUUUUGGGGCGAAAACAAAAACUGACUCCCGGGCAUAUUUUUUUCGGCCUUUAUGGGCAGAGAACUUUAAUACCGCUCGAAAUGAGGCCACCCAGUAGUUAGGUGUGAAUUUUCGAGACCUUUGGCACCGUUCUAAGAUGGGUCCUCUCUUCGUAGGCUAAUGCAUUGGCCCUUUUUGACCCGUUUUGGGGCGAAAACAAAAACUGACUCCCGGGCAUAUUUUUUUCGGCCUUUAUGGGCAGAGAACUUUAAUACCGCUCAAAAUGAGGCCACCCAGUAGUUAGGUGUGAAUUUUCGAGACCUUUGGCACCGUUCUAAGAUGGGUCCUCUCUUCGUAGGCUAAUGCAUUGGCCCUUUUUGACCCGUUUUGGGGCGAAAACAAAAACUGACUCCCGGGCAUAUUUUUUUCGGCCUUUAUGGGCAGAGAACUUUAAUGCCGCUCGGAAUGAGGCCACCCAGUAGUUAGGUGUGAAUUUUCGAGACCUUUGGCACCGUUCUAAGAUGGGUCCUCUCUUCGUAGGCUAAUGCAUUGGCCCUUUUUGACCCGUUUUGGGGCGAAAACAAAAACUGACUCCCGGGCAUAUUUUUUUUCGGCCUUUAUGGGCAGAGAACUUUAAUGCCGCUCGGAAUGAGGCCACCCAGUAGUUAGGUGUGAAUUUUCGAGACCUUUGGCACCGUUCUAAGAUGGGUCCUCUCUUCGUAGGCUAAUGCAUUGGCCCUUUUUGACCCGUUUUGGGGCGAAAACAAAAACUGACUCCCGGGCAUAUUUUUUUCGGCCUUUAUGGGCAGAGAACUUUAAUGCCGCUCAGAAUGAGGCCACCCAGUAGUUAGGUGUGAAUUUUCGAGACCUUUGGCACCGUUCUAAGAUGGGUCCUCUCUUCGUAGGCUAAUGCAUUGGCCCUUUUUGACCCGUUUUGGGGCGAAAACAAAAACUGACUCCCGGGCAUAUUUUUUUUCGGCCUUUAUGGGCAGAGAACUUUAAUGCCGCUCAGAAUGAGGCCACCCAGUAGUUAGGUGUGAAUUUUCGAGACCUUUGGCACCGUUCUAAGAUGGGUCCUCUCUUCGUAGGCUAAUGCAUUGGCCCUUUUUGACCCGUUUUGGGGCGAAAACAAAAACUGACUCCCGGGCAUAUUUUUUUCGGCCUUUAUGGGCAGAGAACUUUAAUGCCGCUCGGAAUGAGGCCACCCAGUAGUUAGGUGUGAAUUUUCGAGACCUUUGGCACCGUUCUAAGAUGGGUCCUCUCUUCGUAGGCUAAUGCAUUGGCCCUUUUUGACCCGUUUUGGGGCGAAAACAAAAACUGACUCCCGGGCAUAUUUUUUUCGGCCUUUAUGGGCAGAGAACUUUAAUGCCGCUCGGAAUGAGGCCACCCAGUAGUUAGGUGUGAAUUUUCGAGACCUUUGGCACCGUUCUAAGAUGGGUCCUCUCUUCGUAGGCUAAUGCAUUGGCCCUUUUUUGACCCGUUUUGGGGCGAAAACAAAAACUGACUCCCGGGCAUAUUUUUUUCGGCCUUUAUGGGCAGAGAACUUUAAUGCCGCUCAGAAUGAGGCCACCCAGUAGUUAGGUGUGAAUUUUCGAGACCUUUGGCACCGUUCUAAGAUGGGUCCUCUCUUCGUAGGCUAAUGCAUUGGCCCUUUUUGACCCGUUUUGGGGCGAAAACAAAAACUGACUCCCGGGCAUAUUUUUUUCGGCCUUUAUGGGCAGAGAACUUUAAUGCCGCUCAGAAUGAGGCCACCCAGUAGUUAGGUGUGAAUUUUCGAGACCUUUGGCACCGUUCUAAGAUGGGUCCUCUCUUCGUAGGCUAAUGCAUUGGCCCUUUUUGACCCGUUUUGGGGCGAAAACAAAAACUGACUCCCGGGCAUAUUUUUUUCGGCCUUUAUGGGCAGAGAACUUUAAUGCCGCUCAGAAUGAGGCCACCCAGUAGUUAGGUGUGAAUUUUCGAGACCUUUGGCACCGUUCUAAGAUGGGUCCUCUCUUCGUAGGCUAAUGCAUUGGCCCUUUUUGACCCGUUUUGGGGCGAAAACAAAAACUGACUCCCGGGCAUAUUUUUUUCGGCCUUUAUGGGCAGAGAACUUUAAUGCCGCUCAGAAUGAGGCCACCCAGUAGUUAGGUGUGAAUUUUCGAGACCUUUGGCACCGUUCUAAGAUGGGUCCUCUCUUCGUAGGCUAAUGCAUUGGCCCUUUUUGACCCGUUUUGGGGCGAAAACAAAAACUGACUCCCGGGCAUAUUUUUUUUCGGCCUUUAUGGGCAGAGAACUUUAAUGCCGCUCAGAAUGAGGCCACCCAGUAGUUAGGUGUGAAUUUUCGAGACCUUUGGCACCGUUCUAAGAUGGGUCCUCUCUUCGUAGGCUAAUGCAUUGGCCCUUUUUGACCCGUUUUGGGGCGAAAACAAAAACUGACUCCCGGGCAUAUUUUUUUCGGCCUUUAUGGGCAGAGAACUUUAAUGCCGCUCAGAAUGAGGCCACCCAGUAGUUAGGUGUGAAUUUUCGAGACCUCUGGCACCGUUCUAAGAUGGGUCCUCUCUUCGUAGGCUAAUGCAUUGGCCCUUUUUGACCCGUUUUGGGGCGAAAACAAAAACUGACUCCCGGGCAUAUUUUUUUCGGCCUUUAUGGGCAGAGAACUUUAAUGCCGCUCAGAAUGAGGCCACCCAGUAGUUAGGUGUGAAUUUUCGAGACCUCUGGCACCGUUCUAAGAUGGGUCCUCUCUUCGUAGGCUAAUGCAUUGGCCCUUUUUGACCCGUUUUGGGGCGAAAACAAAAACUGACUCCCGGGCAUAUUUUUUUCGGCCUUUAUGGGCAGAGAACUUUAAUGCCGCUCAGAAUGAGGCCACCCAGUAGUUAGGUGUGAAUUUUCGAGACCUCUGGCACCGUUCUAAGAUGGGUCCUCUCUUCGUAGGCUAAUGCAUUGGCCCUUUUUGACCCGUUUUGGGGCGAAAACAAAAACUGACUCCCGGGCAUAUUUUUUUCGGCCUUUAUGGGCAGAGAACUUUAAUGCCGCUCAGAAUGAGGCCACCCAGUAGUUAGGUGUGAAUUUUCGAGACCUCUGGCACCGUUCUAAGAUGGGUCCUCUCUUCGUAGGCUAAUGCAUUGGCCCUUUUUGACCCGUUUUGGGGCGAAAACAAAAACUGACUCCCGGGCAUAUUUUUUUCGGCCUUUAUGGGCAGAGAACUUUAAUGCCGCUCAGAAUGAGGCCACCCAGUAGUUAGGUGUGAAUUUUCGAGACCUCUGGCACCGUUCUAAGAUGGGUCCUCUCUUCGUAGGCUAAUGCAUUGGCCCUUUUUGACCCGUUUUGGGGCGAAAACAAAAACUGACUCCCGGGCAUAUUUUUUUCGGCCUUUAUGGGCAGAGAACUUUAAUGCCGCUCAGAAUGAGGCCACCCAGUAGUUAGGUGUGAAUUUUCGAGACCUCUGGCACCGUUCUAAGAUGGGUCCUCUCUUCGUAGGCUAAUGCAUUGGCCCUUUUUGACCCGUUUUGGGGCGAAAACAAAAACUGACUCCCGGGCAUAUUUUUUUCGGCCUUUAUGGGCAGAGAACUUUAAUGCCGCUCAGAAUGAGGCCACCCAGUAGUUAGGUGUGAAUUUUCGAGACCUCUGGCACCGUUCUAAGAUGGGUCCUCUCUUCGUAGGCUAAUGCAUUGGCCCUUUUUGACCCGUUUUGGGGCGAAAACAAAAACUGACUCCCGGGCAUAUUUUUUUCGGCCUUUAUGGGCAGAGAACUUUAAUGCCGCUCAGAAUGAGGCCACCCAGUAGUUAGGUGUGAAUUUUCGAGACCUCUGGCACCGUUCUAAGAUGGGUCCUCUCUUCGUAGGCUAAUGCAUUGGCCCUUUUUGACCCGUUUUGGGGCGAAAACAAAAACUGACUCCCGGGCAUAUUUUUUUCGGCCUUUAUGGGCAGAGAACUUUAAUGCCGCUCAGAAUGAGGCCACCCAGUAGUUAGGUGUGAAUUUUCGAGACCUCUGGCACCGUUCUAAGAUGGGUCCUCUCUUCGUAGGCUAAUGCAUUGGCCCUUUUUGACCCGUUUUGGGGCGAAAACAAAAACUGACUCCCGGGCAUAUUUUUUUCGGCCUUUUAUGGGCAGAGAACUUUAAUGCCGCUCAGAAUGAGGCCACCCAGUAGUUAGGUGUGAAUUUUCGAGACCUCUGGCACCGUUCUAAGAUGGGUCCUCUCUUCGUAGGCUAAUGCAUUGGCCCUUUUUGACCCGUUUUGGGGCGAAAACAAAAACUGACUCCCGGGCAUAUUUUUUUCGGCCUUUAUGGGCAGAGAACUUUAAUGCCGCUCAGAAUGAGGCCACCCAGUAGUUAGGUGUGAAUUUUCGAGACCUCUGGCACCGUUCUAAGAUGGGUCCUCUCUUCGUAGGCUAAUGCAUUGGCCCUUUUUGACCCGUUUUGGGGCGAAAACAAAAACUGACUCCCGGGCAUAUUUUUUUCGGCCUUUAUGGGCAGAGAACUUUAAUGCCGCUCAGAAUGAGGCCACCCAGUAGUUAGGUGUGAAUUUUCGAGACCUCUGGCACCGUUCUAAGAUGGGUCCUCUCUUCGUAGGCUAAUGCAUUGGCCCUUUUUGACCCGUUUUGGGGCGAAAACAAAAACUGACUCCCGGGCAUAUUUUUUUCGGCCUUUAUGGGCAGAGAACUUUAAUGCCGCUCAGAAUGAGGCCACCCAGUAGUUAGGUGUGAAUUUUCGAGACCUCUGGCACCGUUCUAAGAUGGGUCCUCUCUUCGUAGGCUAAUGCAUUGGCCCUUUUUGACCCGUUUUGGGGCGAAAACAAAAACUGACUCCCGGGCAUAUUUUUUUCGGCCUUUAUGGGCAGAGAACUUUAAUGCCGCUCAGAAUGAGGCCACCCAGUAGUUAGGUGUGAAUUUUCGAGACCUCUGGCACCGUUCUAAGAUGGGUCCUCUCUUCGUAGGCUAAUGCAUUGGCCCUUUUUGACCCGUUUUGGGGCGAAAAAAAAAAACUGACUCCCGGGCAUAUUUUUUUCGGCCUUUAUGGGCAGAGAACUUUAAUGCCGCUCAGAAUGAGGCCACCCAGUAGUUAGGUGUGAAUUUUCGAGACCUCUGGCACCGUUCUAAGAUGGGUCCUCUCUUCGUAGGCUAAUGCAUUGGCCCUUUUUGACCCGUUUUGGGGCGAAAACAAAAACUGACUCCCGGGCAUAUUUUUUUCGGCCUUUAUGGGCAGAGAACUUUAAUGCCGCUCAGAAUGAGGCCACCCAGUAGUUAGGUGUGAAUUUUCGAGACCUCUGGCACCGUUCUAAGAUGGGUCCUCUCUUCGUAGGCUAAUGCAUUGGCCCUUUUUGACCCGUUUUGGGGCGAAAACAAAAACUGACUCCCGGGCAUAUUUUUUUCGGCCUUUAUGGGCAGAGAACUUUAAUGCCGCUCAGAAUGAGGCCACCCAGUAGUUAGGUGUGAAUUUUCGAGACCUCUGGCACCGUUCUAAGAUGGGUCCUCUCUUCGUAGGCUAAUGCAUUGGCCCUUUUUGACCCGUUUUGGGGCGAAAACAAAAACUGACUCCCGGGCAUAUUUUUUUCGGCCUUUAUGGGCAGAGAACUUUAAUGCCGCUCAGAAUGAGGCCACCCAGUAGUUAGGUGUGAAUUUUCGAGACCUCUGGCACCGUUCUAAGAUGGGUCCUCUCUUCGUAGGCUAAUGCAUUGGCCCUUUUUGACCCGUUUUGGGGCGAAAACAAAAACUGACUCCCGGGCAUAUUUUUUUCGGCCUUUAUGGGCAGAGAACUUUAAUGCCGCUCAGAAUGAGGCCACCCAGUAGUUAGGUGUGAAUUUUCGAGACCUCUGGCACCGUUCUAAGAUGGGUCCUCUCUUCGUAGGCUAAUGCAUUGGCCCUUUUUGACCCGUUUUGGGGCGAAAACAAAAACUGACUCCCGGGCAUAUUUUUUUCGGCCUUUAUGGGCAGAGAACUUUAAUGCCGCUCAGAAUGAGGCCACCCAGUAGUUAGGUGUGAAUUUUCGAGACCUCUGGCACCGUUCUAAGAUGGGUCCUCUCUUCGUAGGCUAAUGCAUUGGCCCUUUUUGACCCGUUUUGGGGCGAAAACAAAAACUGACUCCCGGGCAUAUUUUUUUCGGCCUUUAUGGGCAGAGAACUUUAAUACCGCUCAGAAUGAGGCCACCCAGUAGUUAGGUGUGAAUUUUCGAGACCUCUGGCACCGUUCUAAGAUGGGUCCUCUCUUCGUAGGCUAAUGCAUUGGCCCUUUUUGACCCGUUUUGGGGCGAAAACAAAAACUGACUCCCGGGCAUAUUUUUUUCGGCCUUUAUGGGCAGAGAACUUUAAUGCCGCUCAGAAUGAGGCCACCCAGUAGUUAGGUGUGAAUUUUCGAGACCUCUGGCACCGUUCUAAGAUGGGUCCUCUCUUCGUAGGCUAAUGCAUUGGCCCUUUUUGACCCGUUUUGGGGCGAAAACAAAAACUGACUCCCGGGCAUAUUUUUUUCGGCCUUUAUGGGCAGAGAACUUUAAUACCGCUCAGAAUGAGGCCACCCAGUAGUUAGGUGUGAAUUUUCGAGACCUCUGGCACCGUUCUAAGAUGGGUCCUCUCUUCGUAGGCUAAUGCAUUGGCCCUUUUUGACCCGUUUUGGGGCGAAAACAAAAACUGACUCCCGGGCAUAUUUUUUUCGGCCUUUAUGGGCAGAGAACUUUAAUACCGCUCAGAAUGAGGCCACCCAGUAGUUAGGUGUGAAUUUUCGAGACCUCUGGCACCGUUCUAAGAUGGGUCCUCUCUUCGUAGGCUAAUGCAUUGGCCCUUUUUGACCCGUUUUGGGGCGAAAACAAAAACUGACUCCCGGGCAUAUUUUUUUCGGCCUUUAUGGGCAGAGAACUUUAAUACCGCUCAGAAUGAGGCCACCCAGUAGUUAGGUGUGAAUUUUCGAGACCUCUGGCACCGUUCUAAGAUGGGUCCUCUCUUCGUAGGCUAAUGCAUUGGCCCUUUUUGACCCGUUUUGGGGCGAAAACAAAAACUGACUCCCGGGCAUAUUUUUUUCGGCCUUUAUGGGCAGAGAACUUUAAUACCGCUCAGAAUGAGGCCACCCAGUAGUUAGGUGUGAAUUUUCGAGACCUCUGGCACCGUUCUAAGAUGGGUCCUCUCUUCGUAGGCUAAUGCAUUGGCCCUUUUUGACCCGUUUUGGGGCGAAAACAAAAACUGACUCCCGGGCAUAUUUUUUUCGGCCUUUAUGGGCAGAGAACUUUAAUGCCGCUCAGAAUGAGGCCACCCAGUAGUUAGGUGUGAAUUUUCGAGACCUCUGGCACCGUUCUAAGAUGGGUCCUCUCUUCGUAGGCUAAUGCAUUGGCCCUUUUUGACCCGUUUUGGGGCGAAAACAAAAACUGACUCCCGGGCAUAUUUUUUUCGGCCUUUAUGGGCAGAGAACUUUAAUACCGCUCAGAAUGAGGCCACCCAGUAGUUAGGUGUGAAUUUUCGAGACCUCUGGCACCGUUCUAAGAUGGGUCCUCUCUUCGUAGGCUAAUGCAUUGGCCCUUUUUGACCCGUUUUGGGGCGAAAACAAAAACUGACUCCCGGGCAUAUUUUUUUCGGCCUUUAUGGGCAGAGAACUUUAAUGCCGCUCAGAAUGAGGCCACCCAGUAGUUAGGUGUGAAUUUUCGAGACCUCUGGCACCGUUCUAAGAUGGGUCCUCUCUUCGUAGGCUAAUGCAUUGGCCCUUUUUGACCCGUUUUGGGGCGAAAACAAAAACUGACUCCCGGGCAUAUUUUUUUCGGCCUUUAUGGGCAGAGAACUUUAAUGCCGCUCAGAAUGAGGCCACCCAGUAGUUAGGUGUGAAUUUUCGAGACCUCUGGCACCGUUCUAAGAUGGGUCCUCUCUUCGUAGGCUAAUGCAUUGGCCCUUUUUGACCCGUUUUGGGGCGAAAACAAAAACUGACUCCCGGGCAUAUUUUUUUCGGCCUUUAUGGGCAGAGAACUUUAAUACCGCUCAGAAUGAGGCCACCCAGUAGUUAGGUGUGAAUUUUCGAGACCUCUGGCACCGUUCUAAGAUGGGUCCUCUCUUCGUAGGCUAAUGCAUUGGCCCUUUUUGACCCGUUUUGGGGCGAAAACAAAAACUGACUCCCGGGCAUAUUUUUUUCGGCCUUUAUGGGCAGAGAACUUUAAUGCCGCUCAGAAUGAGGCCACCCAGUAGUUAGGUGUGAAUUUUCGAGACCUCUGGCACCGUUCUAAGAUGGGUCCUCUCUUCGUAGGCUAAUGCAUUGGCCCUUUUUGACCCGUUUUGGGGCGAAAACAAAAACUGACUCCCGGGCAUAUUUUUUUCGGCCUUUAUGGGCAGAGAACUUUAAUGCCGCUCAGAAUGAGGCCACCCAGUAGUUAGGUGUGAAUUUUCGAGACCUCUGGCACCGUUCUAAGAUGGGUCCUCUCUUCGUAGGCUAAUGCAUUGGCCCUUUUUGACCCGUUUUGGGGCGAAAACAAAAACUGACUCCCGGGCAUAUUUUUUUCGGCCUUUAUGGGCAGAGAACUUUAAUGCCGCUCAGAAUGAGGCCACCCAGUAGUUAGGUGUGAAUUUUCGAGACCUCUGGCACCGUUCUAAGAUGGGUCCUCUCUUCGUAGGCUAAUGCAUUGGCCCUUUUUGACCCGUUUUGGGGCGAAAACAAAAACUGACUCCCGGGCAUAUUUUUUUCGGCCUUUAUGGGCAGAGAACUUUAAUGCCGCUCAGAAUGAGGCCACCCAGUAGUUAGGUGUGAAUUUUCGAGACCUCUGGCACCGUUCUAAGAUGGGUCCUCUCUUCGUAGGCUAAUGCAUUGGCCCUUUUUGACCCGUUUUGGGGCGAAAACAAAAACUGACUCCCGGGCAUAUUUUUUUCGGCCUUUAUGGGCAGAGAACUUUAAUGCCGCUCAGAAUGAGGCCACCCAGUAGUUAGGUGUGAAUUUUCGAGACCUCUGGCACCGUUCUAAGAUGGGUCCUCUCUUCGUAGGCUAAUGCAUUGGCCCUUUUUGACCCGUUUUGGGGCGAAAACAAAAACUGACUCCCGGGCAUAUUUUUUUCGGCCUUUAUGGGCAGAGAACUUUAAUGCCGCUCAGAAUGAGGCCACCCAGUAGUUAGGUGUGAAUUUUCGAGACCUCUGGCACCGUUCUAAGAUGGGUCCUCUCUUCGUAGGCUAAUGCAUUGGCCCUUUUUGACCCGUUUUGGGGCGAAAACAAAAACUGACUCCCGGGCAUAUUUUUUUCGGCCUUUAUGGGCAGAGAACUUUAAUGCCGCUCAGAAUGAGGCCACCCAGUAGUUAGGUGUGAAUUUUCGAGACCUCUGGCACCGUUCUAAGAUGGGUCCUCUCUUCGUAGGCUAAUGCAUUGGCCCUUUUUGACCCGUUUUGGGGCGAAAACAAAAACUGACUCCCGGGCAUAUUUUUUUCGGCCUUUAUGGGCAGAGAACUUUAAUGCCGCUCAGAAUGAGGCCACCCAGUAGUUAGGUGUGAAUUUUCGAGACCUCUGGCACCGUUCUAAGAUGGGUCCUCUCUUCGUAGGCUAAUGCAUUGGCCCUUUUUGACCCGUUUUGGGGCGAAAACAAAAACUGACUCCCGGGCAUAUUUUUUUCGGCCUUUAUGGGCAGAGAACUUUAAUGCCGCUCAGAAUGAGGCCACCCAGUAGUUAGGUGUGAAUUUUCGAGACCUCUGGCACCGUUCUAAGAUGGGUCCUCUCUUCGUAGGCUAAUGCAUUGGCCCUUUUUGACCCGUUUUGGGGCGAAAACAAAAACUGACUCCCGGGCAUAUUUUUUUCGGCCUUUAUGGGCAGAGAACUUUAAUGCCGCUCAGAAUGAGGCCACCCAGUAGUUAGGUGUGAAUUUUCGAGACCUCUGGCACCGUUCUAAGAUGGGUCCUCUCUUCGUAGGCUAAUGCAUUGGCCCUUUUUGACCCGUUUUGGGGCGAAAACAAAAACUGACUCCCGGGCAUAUUUUUUUCGGCCUUUAUGGGCAGAGAACUUUAAUGCCGCUCAGAAUGAGGCCACCCAGUAGUUAGGUGUGAAUUUUCGAGACCUCUGGCACCGUUCUAAGAUGGGUCCUCUCUUCGUAGGCUAAUGCAUUGGCCCUUUUUGACCCGUUUUGGGGCGAAAACAAAAACUGACUCCCGGGCAUAUUUUUUUCGGCCUUUAUGGGCAGAGAACUUUAAUACCGCUCAGAAUGAGGCCACCCAGUAGUUAGGUGUGAAUUUUCGAGACCUCUGGCACCGUUCUAAGAUGGGUCCUCUCUUCGUAGGCUAAUGCAUUGGCCCUUUUUGACCCGUUUUGGGGCGAAAACAAAAACUGACUCCCGGGCAUAUUUUUUUCGGCCUUUAUGGGCAGAGAACUUUAAUGCCGCUCAGAAUGAGGCCACCCAGUAGUUAGGUGUGAAUUUUCGAGACCUCUGGCACCGUUCUAAGAUGGGUCCUCUCUUCGUAGGCUAAUGCAUUGGCCCUUUUUGACCCGUUUUGGGGCGAAAACAAAAACUGACUCCCGGGCAUAUUUUUUUCGGCCUUUAUGGGCAGAGAACUUUAAUACCGCUCAGAAUGAGGCCACCCAGUAGUUAGGUGUGAAUUUUCGAGACCUCUGGCACCGUUCUAAGAUGGGUCCUCUCUUCGUAGGCUAAUGCAUUGGCCCUUUUUGACCCGUUUUGGGGCGAAAACAAAAACUGACUCCCGGGCAUAUUUUUUUCGGCCUUUAUGGGCAGAGAACUUUAAUGCCGCUCAGAAUGAGGCCACCCAGUAGUUAGGUGUGAAUUUUCGAGACCUCUGGCACCGUUCUAAGAUGGGUCCUCUCUUCGUAGGCUAAUGCAUUGGCCCUUUUUGACCCGUUUUGGGGCGAAAACAAAAACUGACUCCCGGGCAUAUUUUUUUCGGCCUUUAUGGGCAGAGAACUUUAAUGCCGCUCAGAAUGAGGCCACCCAGUAGUUAGGUGUGAAUUUUCGAGACCUCUGGCACCGUUCUAAGAUGGGUCCUCUCUUCGUAGGGCUAAUGCAUUGGCCCUUUUUGACCCGUUUUGGGGCGAAAACAAAAACUGACUCCCGGGCAUAUUUUUUUCGGCCUUUAUGGGCAGAGAACUUUAAUACCGCUCAGAAUGAGGCCACCCAGUAGUUAGGUGUGAAUUUUCGAGACCUCUGGCACCGUUCUAAGAUGGGUCCUCUCUUCGUAGGCUAAUGCAUUGGCCCUUUUUGACCCGUUUUGGGGCGAAAACAAAAACUGACUCCCGGGCAUAUUUUUUUCGGCCUUUAUGGGCAGAGAACUUUAAUGCCGCUCAGAAUGAGGCCACCCAGUAGUUAGGUGUGAAUUUUCGAGACCUCUGGCACCGUUCUAAGAUGGGUCCUCUCUUCGUAGGCUAAUGCAUUGGCCCUUUUUGACCCGUUUUGGGGCGAAAACCAAAAACUGACUCCCGGGCAUAUUUUUUUCGGCCUUUAUGGGCAGAGAACUUUAAUACCGCUCAGAAUGAGGCCACCACCCAGUAGUUAGGUGUGAAUUUUCGAGACCUCUGGCACCGUUCUAAGAUGGGUCCUCUCUUCGUAGGCUAAUGCAUUGGCCCUUUUUGACCCGUUUUGGGGCGAAAACAAAAACUGACUCCCGGGCAUAUUUUUUUCGGCCUUUAUGGGCAGAGAAACUUUAAUGCCGCUCAGAAUGAGGCCACCCAGUAGUUAGGUGUGAAUUUUCGAGACCUCUGGCACCGUUCUAAGAUGGGUCCUCUCUUCGUAGGCUAAUGCAUUGGCCCUUUUUGACCCGUUUUGGGGCGAAAACAAAAACUGACUCCCGGGCAUAUUUUUUUCGGCCUUUAUGGGCAGAGAACUUUAAUACCGCUCAGAAUGAGGCCACCCAGUAGUUAGGUGUGAAUUUUCGAGACCUCUGGCACCGUUCUAAGAUGGGUCCUCUCUUCGUAGGCUAAUGCAUUGGCCCUUUUUGACCCGUUUUGGGGCGAAAACAAAAACUGACUCCCGGGCAUAUUUUUUUCGGCCUUUAUGGGCAAAGAACUUUAAUGCCGCUCAGAAUGAGGCCACCCAGUAGUUAGGUGUGAAUUUUCGAGACCUCUGGCACCGUUCUAAGAUGGGUCCUCUCUUCGUAGGCUAAUGCAUUGGCCCUUUUUGACCCGUUUUGGGGCGAAAAACAAAAACUGACUCCCGGGCAUAUUUUUUUCGGCCUUUAUGGGCAAAGAACUUUAAUGCCGCUCAGAAUGAGGCCACCCAGUAGUUAGGUGUGAAUUUUCGAGACCUCUGGCACCGUUCUAAGAUGGGUCCUCUCUUCGUAGGCUAAUGCAUUGGCCCUUUUUGACCCGUUUUGGGGCGAAAACAAAAAACUGACUCCCGGGCAUAUUUUUUUCGGCCUUUAUGGGCAGAGAACUUUAAUGCCGCUCAGAAUGAGGCCACCC